rnacentral:tmRNA from 1 species
GGGGUCGUUUUUGGCUUCGACGGAAAUAUUAGUGUUUAGCUAGCAAGACGCUUAUUCUCCACGUAACGGGGAUAAAUUAAACAUAACUGGAAACAGCUAUAGAAGCGCUGUUGCAUACGCUUAGUUUAAAGCCGCAACAGGUUCCUCUAAUUCUUUGUCUGUGAGAAUUAAUAGGGACUUAUAAAGCAGACUAUAUUAUGAUUUAUGUUUAGACUUCAUAAUGAAUAACUAUAAACUAGUAAGUAAAUUUGAUGGUAGAUUGUCUAUUUACUUAUGAAACUAAUAAUCUACUAAUCUUGUAGAAGGUUAAAUAGCUUUAUUUACGGACAGGGGUUCGAAUCCCCUCGACUCCACCA